rnacentral:rRNA from 1 species
UACGUAGGGUGCGAGCGUUGUCCGGAAUUAUUGGGGCGUAAAGGGCUCGUAGGCGGUCUGUCACGUCAGGAGUGAAAACUCGGGGCUCAACCCCGAGCCUGCUUCUGAUACGGGCAGACUGGAGGUAUGCAGGGGAGAACGGAAUUCCUGGUGUAGCGGUGAAAUGCGCAGAUAUCAGGAGGAACACCGGUGGCGAAGGCGGUUCUCUGGGCAUUACCUGACGCUGAGGAGCGAAAGUGUGGGGAGCGAACAGG